GAUGAACGCUGGCUACAGGCUUAACACAUGCAAGUCGAGGGGAAACGACGGGGAAGCUUGCUUCCCCGGGCGUCGACCGGCGCACGGGUGAGUAACGCGUAUCCAACCUGCCUCUGACUGAGGGAUAACCCGUCGAAAGUCGGCCUAAUACCUCAUGGCAUCGUCUGCGGGCAUCCAACGACGAUUAAAGAUUUCAUCGGUCAGGGAUGGGGAUGCGUCUGAUUAGCUUGUUGGCGGGGUAACGGCCCACCAAGGCUACGAUCAGUAGGGGUUCUGAGAGGAAGGUCCCCCACAUUGGAACUGAGACACGGUCCAAACUCCUACGGGAGGCAGCAGUGAGGAAUAUUGGUCAAUGGGCGAGAGCCUGAACCAGCCAAGUAGCGUGCAGGAUGACGGCCCUAUGGGUUGUAAACUGCUUUUAUGCGGGGAUAAAGUGAGGGACGUGUCCUUCAUUGCAGGUAUCGCAUGAAUAAGGACCGGCUAAUUCCGUGCCAGCAGCCGCGGUAAUACGGAAGGUCCGGGCGUUAUCCGGAUUUAUUGGGUUUAAAGGGAGCGUAGGCCGUGGAUUAAGCGUGUUGUGAAAUGCAGGUGCUCAACGUCUGCACUGCAGCGCGAACUGGUUCACUUGAGUGUGCGCAACGCAGGCGGAAUUCGUCGUGUAGCGGUGAAAUGCUUAGAUAUGACGAAGAACCCCGAUUGCGAAGGCAGCCGGCGGGAGCGCAACUGACGCUGAAGCUCGAAGGUGCGGGUAUCGAACAGG
rnacentral:rRNA from 1 species